rnacentral:misc_RNA from 1 species
GAAAUGCGAUAAGUAGUGUGAAUUGCAGAAUUCAGUGAAUCAUCGAAUCUUUGAACGCACAUUGCGCCCCUCGGUAUUCCGUGGGGCAUGCCUGUUCGAGCGUCAUCUACACCCUCAAGCUCUGCUUGGUGUUGGGCGUCUUUGUCCCGCCUCCGCGCGCGGACUCGCCCCAAAUUCAUUGGCAGCGGUCCUUGCCUCCUCUCGCGCAGCACAUUGCGCUUCUCGAGGUGUUGCGGCCCGCGUCCAGAAAGCAAUCGUUACCGUCUUUGACCUCGGAUCAGGUAGGGAUACCCGCUGAACUUAAGC